GACGAACGCUGGCGGCGUGCUUAACACAUGCAAGUCGAACGGUAAGGCCCUUCGGGGUACACGAGUGGCGAACGGGUGAGUAACACGUGGGUGAUCUGCCCUGCACUUCGGGAUAAGCCUGGGAAACUGGGUCUAAUACCGGAUAGGACCACUGCCUGCAUGGGUGGUGGUGGAAAGCUUUUGCGGUGUGGGAUGGGCCCGCGGCCUAUCAGCUUGUUGGUGGGGUGGUGGCCUACCAAGGCGACGACGGGUCGCCGGCCUGAGAGGGUGACCGGCCACACUGGGGCUGAGAUACGGCCCAGACUCCUACGGGAGGCAGCAUUGGGGAAUAUUGCACAAUGGGCGCAGGCCUGAUGCAGCGACGCCGCGUGAGGGAUGACGGCCUUCGGGUUGUAAACCUCUUUCAGCACCGACGAAGCGCAAGUGACGGUAGGUGCAGAAGAAGGACCGGCCAACUACGUGCCAGCCGCCGCAGUAAUAC
rnacentral:rRNA from 1 species